rnacentral:rRNA from 1 species
UCCUACGGGGGGCAGCAGUAGGGAAUCUUCCACAGUGGACGAAAGUCUGAUGGAGCAACGCCGCGUGAGUGAAGAAGGGUUUCGGCUCGUAAAGCUCUGUUGGUAGUGGAGAAAGAUAGAGGUAGUAACUGGCCUUUAUUUGACGGUAAUUACUUAGAAAGUCACGGCUAACUACGUGCCAGCAGCCGCGGUAAUACGUAGGUGGCAAGCGUUGUCCGGAUUUAUUGGGCGUAAAGCGAGUGCGGGCGGUUCAAUAAGUCUGAUGUGAAAGCCUUCGGCUCAACCGGAGAAUUGCAUCAGAAACU